CAUAACACAACAAAGGCCUACCUGCCGGUUUCAGUUGACAGAACAGCAGUAAUGAAAAGACUGCGCAGUCCAAACAGAGCCCAACUGACAGCGACGGACGGAUGAAUCGUGCGUUUGGUUUUUAACGAGGUAUGUCCUGCUCAGAGUAUGGAGCGCCGAUUGCACGACGAUGAGUUUUCCUGUCACGCAGAAACGAGGUUUGGAAAACCCCCACUAUGGGUACAUACAGGCGACAUAGUUGUAGUACGCAUGCGUCCAGACCACACCUAGACGGGCUUGAAUCAUUUUUCCACGGCCCGCGACCACGUCUCUUGCACGUCGUUCCCUCUUUGUUGUAGUCGCAUCAUUCACUUCGGAGGAACCGAGAGAUUGCAAGAAAAAGCUUGGUGUUGUCGAGCAAGUCCACUACCAACUGCAAACAAUGAAGACCUUCGUUUUCAGCGCGAUUGUUUUUUCAGUGUUGUUCACUUACGGGGUUAAAGGACAAUGCUACAACUGCACUUUAACCACCAUGAGUGGCAUGACGUUUGGACAACCAGGAUGUGGAGAUCCGUUCGACAGCUCGGGACUCCAGAUUAUACCGUGUGCAGGACAAUGCAAAACAAUAAAAACAGAAACGAUGGGCGACGGGAAUACACCUCCUAUGACAAUAGUGGUUAGAGCCUGUCACAACGAAGCGUUUCCCUGUCUUGGCGCGAGAAAUACGAAGAUUGAGAAUGGGACACUGACUCAAACCUGCUGCAGUGGAGAACUGUGUAACGGUGGUGACCUGAACGGCGGUGGUGAUGCAGGUGCAGGUGGUGAAGCGGGUGGUGCAGAUGGUGAGACGGGGGGUGAGGGGAGGGAUGGAGGUGAAGUUGCCAACGCACAAGCAACCACACCGAGCUCAAACGCAAUAUCCAGUCUGAUUAAUUUCAGCAUAACCCUCGUAGUCUUUGCACCGCUCUGUGCAUUAGCGUUUUAAGCUUGGUGUGCUUUCUUGGGAAUAGUACAUAGGUAUCCAAAAAUGACACAGUCUGUAGUGUGCGUUGCAUCUUUUAGGUGGAUACAGAGAUCCUGAGUCAAUUUCAUGACGCAUGAUGGCGCUUUAUAUAGAGAUGGGCUGAAUUUAUAAUGUCUCACUGCACAGCAGACAGAUAUGAAGUCGAUGAAAGUCAGGCGAUGUGCAUCGCUAAACAUAUGACCUUAUAAAGCGUUGUCUGUGCAUGAAAUCGCACUCUGGUUGUGAUAAACGAAGCGAGCCAGCCUCUUGUGCCCCCUGUUUGUCUAACUUCAGUGGGCCUGCGGUACUAUGGUUUUCCUUAGUCUUUUAUUCUUGUUCAAUGAUUUCAAGAAAGUACAGCAAAGUACGGUUCCAAAUAAUAUUACCUUUCAGUGUAUUAUUAGUGUUCAUUGAACGAGAACUUACAAAAAGUGUACUCAAUAAUAUAGUGUUCAAAGUGUAAUACAAAGAACCAUCCAUGUUUCAAAUAAUAGACUUGUAAUUUGGGUAGGCCUAUCAAUAGAAAUGUGUACGUUGUGACGUGAGAUAUUUUAUCAAGCAAACAGUACUCUGAAAUAAAUUACCGCAAAAGUGAAUAUAGCUAUCUGAAAUCGAAAUUAUAUGUGACCAUUGAUUAAUGAUUGGCUUGCGAAUUAUUUCGCAAUGUUUAAAAUGGGAAAGUUUACCUAAUUUUAGCCCAACAAUUUUUUAUCUCAUGCUUAGAAUAGAAUCUGUGUGAACAAGAGGGGGCACUUCGUUUCCUAGCAACGGUAUUCCUUUAGGCUAACCACAGUGAUCCGCUCGUCGCGUACUGAGCCAACUCCAGCGCACGUGUACCAAGGGUCACUAGUUGUUACUUGACUCGUACCGGUACUCGGGUGAUAGACUAGUGUUUUCGUUAGUACUAUGUAAAACGGGAUUUGUCGUCUGCUUCGACUGUACUGUUCGACAUUGAACUUCAAAUAAUUCUGACAAAUAAAACGCCGGCCCCUUGCCCCUCCUCAAAGGACCGAUUCAGACACCAAAUUAUUUACUGAAGUAAAUUACACAGAGGUGUGGGGGGGGGGUUGCGCGUGAUGAUGUGCGCACAACGGUCUGUAAGCCUAUUCCAUUCAUUAGAAGGGGGUGCUCAUAAGGAACUGUUUCAUUGAAAGUUAAAAUCUCCAGCGUUUCCAUUAUCCACAAGGAUUAUUGAAGAACUUGUUCUGUUUUCAAUAUGUACACCAGCCUUUUGUUUCAUGGAGAUUCUAGAAAAGAUUCCCAUUUCAGCUUCUCGAUCCAGCUAUGGAUCGUGCAUGCGAACACGUCUAUAAUGCAAACGCUGCGCUGUGGUCUCUUCAAAUUGACACCCCUAAAUGUCAUGCAUAACAACGAUUUAAUUUGCAAAACUCUCACCUUCAACAUUGAUUUUUUUCCUGAAAUGUAUGUUUUAAAACCUCACCUUCCGACUGUAGUCGUUUAAAGGAAAUCCUUCCCUUCAAAAUGACCCUUUUUCACAACGUCAUAAAAAACGAGUGAUGCGUCCUAUUCAAAUUUUGUCCAAAAAUAGUACAAAAAUUCUUCACGUUCGAUCAAAACUUACAGUGCGUGGAGAUGCAGCACGCUAGACCGACCAUCGUUUACAAAUGCAUAUGCAGGCAACGCGUUGGCAAGUUAGCAUGGCACGGUCAAAAAGGAAUUGCAGUUAAACAAAAUGUCUCUUUCGAAGACAAUUUUCAUCUCGAAAAUUAACUUUUCUGAUGCAAGUGAAAGUCCCAUAUAUGAAGUAUAUCAUACGGGUUUAAACACUCCGAGUCACAGUUGAAAUUAAUAAAUUAUCAAUAAAAAUUAUUGCCGGCUAUUCGUGGAUCGUGGUCCAUCUUCACGCUGUUAAGAAACAAAGGAUGUGCACGCCGUCGCGGGACAAUACUGAAUGAGAAGAGUUUGAACGUAGGGGGCGCUUGUCGCACAACACCUUUCCGUCCCCCCUGACAGAGGAGGUUACCUUUAUUGGAUCGCUAAUUUUGGUGGGCGUUCAGUAAGAACCAGACAAUACGUGACUAUUGUGUUGAUCAAGAAAUCGCGCUGUCUGCUAGACCUGUUUUAAGCUGACACUUAUUUUCAAUCAGGGACAAUUUAAAACCAGUACCGUUGUCUUGUGCCGCAAUUUCUUUCCUUAAGAUGCAUGCACAGGUUUUGAACAUGUUAAAAGAUAACUGUAAAUUAGUUCACUACCUGACUCUCCAGUCCAUGCGAGAAAGUCAAGAAAUGAGAAGCCUUACUUAUUCUAGCAAAGUUUUGGGAAGUAGGUAAGGAUGUUUCGACUAUAGCUUCCACGACUUGUCGUCACGUCCGCACUACUGUCAGAUUUGUUUGACACAUCACUAUGGCCAUUCUCGCAUCAGGUUUGCCCCGUGAAACCUAAUCGAACGCACCCUUGGAUGCAACAGAGUUAUUUGUAUGCAGCUGAUACUUGGCUACGUCCAAUGGGAACAAUUCCUGCACAUGUAUUUGGAACAAACCAAAACGCCCUUGUCCAAUUUGUUGCCUCGUGACAUAGCGCCCUCUCUUGGGUAUCGCUGGUGUAGCUUAUUUGAAUAACCAAUUCGAUUUUUAUAGUUAGGGUAUUGAUGAUUACUAAUCCGCAAAAAUCAUGCUAUAUUAAUUUAUAUCCAGUGUUUAUCUUUAAACUGUUUAAUUUGUGAUUAAUCAAUGGACUAAUUGAUCGUGAGUGAUGUUAGGUUGUGUGAAAUAGUGUGCCUGAAUAAAAAAUUCAAAACCCAUAACAAACACAA